AACAAUUGGUGCUCUGAUAACAAGGGAGCUGGAAUCAAUUAAACCCUCCCCACAAGCAUCAGCAUCUGUUCAAGCUAAGCCUGGAACUAUUCUUGUUUCGGUUCCCUGCAGUGCAACUACUCCUAGAAAACUACAAGCAAGAAAAUCAUUAGAUGAAGCAAGCAGCAGCGGCCAGAAUCGCAGAAGCCCUGAAACUCGUCAGAAAAUGAAAAGCUUCAAUAAAAGCACUCAUCAUAUUCCGAUGUUUGGCUCUGAUAGUAUUAUUUUGGAUAGAACACCAAGUAGGGAGAAAUCUGACAAGAAAGCAACUAAAAAUGUGGAAAUGGUGGACAUAAGAUGUGGUAGUCCAGAUAGAACUUGGGCUAACCCUAUAACAAGUAAACUCAAGAAGCUAGGUUUUUCAAAGCUACCUGAGAUCGAGCACUGUCUAAGCUUGCAACUUCUUGUCCUCAGAUUUCAGGUUUCUAUAACUGAAUCCCGAAAUCCUAACUGGCCGACUGCUAUCAGACACUUCCACCACCGAACAAAUUCUCGGUAGACGCCUGCUUCCUCCUUUCAG
rnacentral:lncRNA from 1 species